AGUGUACGCUGGCGGUAGGCCUAACACAUGCAAGUCGAACGGCAGCACAGUAAGAGCUUGCUCUUACGGGUGGCGAGUGGCGGACGGGUGAGGAAUACAUCGGAAUCUACUUUUUCGUGGGGGAUAACGUAGGGAAACUUACGCUAAUGCCGCAUACGACCUACGGGUGAAAGCAGGGGAUCUUCGGACCUUGCGCGAUUGAAUGAGCCGAUGUCGGAUUAGCUAGUUGGCGGGGUAAAGGCCCACCAAGGCGACGAUCCGUAGCUGGUCUGAGAGGAUGAUCAGCCACACUGGAACUGAGACACGGUCCAGACUCCUACGGGAGGCAGCAGUGGGGAAUAUUGGACAAUGGGCGCAAGCCUGAUCCAGCCAUACCGCGUGGGUGAAGAAGGCCUUCGGGUUGUAAAGCCCUUUUGUUGGGAAAGAAAAGCAGCAGGUUAAUACCCCGCUGUUCUGACGGUACCCAAAGAAUAAGCACCGGCUAACUUCGUG
rnacentral:rRNA from 1 species